rnacentral:rRNA from 1 species
UCGGGAAUAUUGCGCAAUGGAGGAAACUCUGACGCAGUGACGCCGCGUGCAGGAAGAAGGUUUUUCGGAUUGUAAAACUGCUUUAAGACAGGGAAGAAAACAAGACAGUACCUGUAGAAUAAGCUCCGGCUAACUACGUGCC